rnacentral:rRNA from 1 species
UGUGUAGGCGGUUGGGCAAGUCUGGUGUGAAAUCUUCACCGCUUAACGGGAAGAGGUCACUGGAAACUGCUUAACUCGAGUCUGGUAGAGGCCGGCGGAAUUCCUGGUGUAGCGGUGGAAUGUGUAGAUAUCAGGAAGAACACCUGUGGCGAAGGCGGCCGGCUGGGCCACGACUGACGCUGAAACACGAAAGCGUGGGGAGCAAACGGGAUUAGAUACCCCGGUAGUCCACGCUGUAAACGGUGCGCACUAGGUGUGAGGGGUAUCGACCCCCCUUGUGCCGGAGCAAACGCAUUAAGUGCGCCGCCUGGGGAGUACGGCCGCAAGGUUGAA